rnacentral:rRNA from 1 species
UACGUAGGGGGCGAGCGUUGUCCGGAGUACUGGGCGUAAAGCGCACGCAGGCGGUGCUGCGCGUUUGGGGUUACAGCUCCCGGCUCAACCGGGAGAGCGCCUCGAAGACGGCAGCACUUGAGGGCCAGAGAGGGACACGGAACUCCGGGUGGAGUGGUGAAAUGCGUAGAUAUCCGGAAGAACACCAAAGGCGAAGGCAGUGUCCUGGCUGGUACCUGACGCUCAGGUGCGAAAGCUAGGGGAGCGAACGGG